AAUUUGUAUGAGAGCAGGAAAAAAGGAAGAAAAUUUUAAGCUCAAAACAAAUUCAUAGCAUUCGCAUAAGGAUAAGGAUUUCCUCCUCUGUGUUUUUUUGUGGUCUCUUCAUUUUGAGAGCCUAGUGCGAAGGAGUCAUUGAAGCACUACAGGUUUGUUUGGAUAGGAUGGUUGAACUCUGGAUCACUACAGGAGAGAAAUACAGAAAUCUAUUGAUAACAAAGGGAAUGUGACGUCAUGCAUUCCCUUUGUUGAAUGCAUGCCCAGGCUGACCUGGACAGUGCCUGAGCACAAACAUGCAGGAGAAAUAUGGAUGUGUUCCUUAUAAUGCUGCACAUGUGACACUGUUUUCAUCUGCUGGCUGUAAUCUCAUUCCUGUACCAGCAAAGACCCAUGAAGGGUUUUAUUUCAGUCACUUCCGCUUUCUUGGUAAAGAAAAUCAAGAAGCCAUUGCAGUUGCCUUGGUGGUUUGUGGUUUAAUCUUCAGGAAUUUUUGCUCCAGUUGUUUGAGCACAUUUGUUUGGUCUUGUUUCAGAUGCAAAGAAUGUUCUCUAUCUGAGGAGGUUAAGAAUUGUAGAAAUGUACAUGAAGAUAAACAGAUGACAGUCUUUGGCUGUACUUUGGCUUGUCCUCUGCUUCUGCACUCCUUCGUCGUGUUUUCCAGGAUGGUGCGUAAUCCCAAGCGUCAGUGGACAAGCCUCAAGAUGCGUGGAGCUGGAGCCGGAUACCUCAAACUCCCUGGGACAGAUGCCAAAUGUUGACAAAAGCCGUGAAUGAUUUCACAGGGGUGAACAGCUGAACGGGACUACCACUCUCUCUCCAUUUGGAUCACAUGAUGGACCCUUAAAACCACUGAUAGCAGAGUCAGUUUUUGGCACAAAGGUGUGAAAGGUCCUGCCACUGCUGCCUUUAGGGCUGAGGUAGUAGACUGAGUAGUUGUGGAGCUGCGUCUGCUCCCUGGGAGACAACUACACAAUCUACUGUCUUUCCUAAGGAGACAGGCAAAUCAGCCAGAAAUACAUUGAAUCAAGAUGACGUCUUUAUGUCUGAGGAUACAGUUUAAAAAAUAUAGCUAUUUCAAAUGACACAGAGUGUAAAAAAAAAUAACACACACACACACACACACACACACACACACACACACACACACACGCGCACACACACACACACAUACACACAAAUAACACAAGUGAGCUCAAUUUAAUUCUGUAGGACACGUCUUUGUUUGUUUUUUUCUUUUUGUUUACAGUUUACACAUGUAGCUUUUGUGCAUUUAAGGCACAGUUUUGUGCAUCAUAACACCAUGCUUGUGCAGGAGGCUGAAGACUGCAAAGGAUACAAACUUAAAGGGAAGAGCUUUGGUGCCUUGCCGUGGUGAGGUAGUAGGUUGUAUAGUUUGGUGGAAGGGGUCAAGCCCUAUUUAGGUGAUAACUAUACAGUCUAUUGCCUUCCUUGGCGCACCAGCUGACUGCAACCACAGAAACCACAUCAGUGGUGAGGUCUUCACUGACAUGUUACUAAUGAUUGGAUAGUCUGGAGCUAAUUAAUUCCUAACAGUGUUUUUCUUGCAAAAGUGUUAACACUUUCUCAUUGCCUUUAUUAAGUUGUCACACACUUGUUCUAAACAGUUAUGUCUGGAUUAACAGUCUAUAUAAUGUGAUGUAUAAAUGCAUAUAUACAUGUCAGUUUAAGAUGUACUUGUAAGUGUUUGAAAUAAACAGUAUUUACAGGUGAAUUUA